CAGACAUGCAUCCGGGCAAAACACCAAUGCACAUCAAAUAAAAGUAAAUUAUUUAAAACAAAACAAAACGGAAAAACAGUAUUCUAGGGACUGGACUCCGGAGAACCCAGGGUCAGUUCACAACUAUCCGUAACUCCAGUUCUGGGGCGCCAGAGGCCCUCUUCUGGCCGCUGUAGUCACCAAGCAUACGCGUGGUGCACAGUGGUAAAAUUUUUAGUUAGGCUGUCUAAGGACCCUGGCAAAUCCGUAACUGAAGUUGAUCAAGACGGACCAGCGUGGUGAAGUGAUUGGUUAAAGGAAAAAUUAAAAAGCAGCAAGUAGAAAAGAUUGAAAAAAUGACGGCUGAAGAUGGUGAAAAUUAGGCCAUUUAGAAGCAGGCCCGGAAGAGUUCCGGAUGAUGACUCCAGAGCGCCAGCUCGGGUUCGAGGCUGCACAUACCGAUCUCCCGCACAUCAGAACGUGGUAGAGGCUUGGAAGAAGCUGAAGGGCAGAGAGAGGGAUGGGAAGUACUGUUCAGUGAAGUUAGAAGCCUGACAUUUUUCUGUACAAGGCAUACCCGGUACGUACAGAUCAUGUGGAGGCCAGAUUCCCUGAAACUGGAGUUAAUGGAUCCUUUUGAGCUACUGUGUGGGCGUUAAGAACUGAACCCAGGUCCUCUUCAAGAGCAGUCUGUCCUCGCUCCAUGCCCUUACCUAGAACCUUCUGCUCUCGGCCUCCACCUGUAUACUGAAGACUUCCUAGAUGUUUCAGAUUUCAGUCCUGUCCCAUCCAUGUCUUCCUAACCCACCCCGCCCCACCCCCAUCAGCAGGGU